rnacentral:rRNA from 1 species
GUCUUUUUGAUUAUAAUUUAAAGUCUAACCUGCCCACUGAAUAUUUUGAAGGGCCGCGGUAUUUUGACUGUGCAAAGGUAGCAUAAUCAUUAGUCUUUUAAUUGGAGGCUUGUAUGAAUGGUUGGAUGAGGUAUUAACUGUCUCAAUUUAAUAAAUAAUAGAAUUUUAUUUUUAAGUUAAAAAGCUUAAAUUUUAUUAAAAGACGAGAAGACCCUAUAGAUCUUUAUAAUUAAUUUUAUAAUAAUUUUUUGGAUUAAAUUUAUUUUUAUAAGAUAAAUUAUUAUAUUGGGGUGAUAAAAAAAUUUAUAAAACUUUUUUUAUAUUAAAACAAUGAUAUUUGAUUAAUUGAUCCAUUUUUUGUGAUUAUAAGAUUAAGUUACCUUAGGGAUAACAGCGUAAUUUUUUUGGAGAGUUCAUAUCGAUAAAAAAGAUUGCGACCUCGAUGUUGAAUUAAAGGUUAAUUUUAGGUGUAGAAGUUUAAAAUUUUGGUCUGUUCGACCAUUAAAUC